GUGCGUGCGGCUAAGAGAGUGGGCGCUCUCGCGGCCGCUGACGGAAAAACAAUCACAUUCUCUGUCAAGCAGCCGUAGUUCUGAUUGUCUACUAGGUUAAGCCUACUACUUUAGCUGCUGAGAUAGAAAAGUUGUUUUGCAGGGGUUCCAGGCUGGGCAUGUUGUCAUUGGUGGCAGUGCACUGGAGUGGGAAUGUGGAGGAUGAGUUAAGUGGAAGUUAAUUCAGUCUUUACCUCUGUGAUGUGCUCUGCCUUGUAUUCAUGAUUUCCUAGUCAUUCUGGUUUUUGUUGAAAUGAAAUUUAGGUCUUUUCUGUUGCUCCUGGACACAGGUUCUUAGCUCUUUUUUGUGUCAUCGAUCCCUGAGAGUUUGAUGAUAGCUGUAGACCUCUUCCCCCUCCCCAUGCAUAUAUGCGUGUACACAUAACAUUUUCAUAUAAUUCUAGAGGAUUCACAUGCAUUGACUCUAGAUUAAGAACCUGUUUUAGGGAUUUUUAAAAAAAUCCUGAGAGCUUCCUAAACUUUGUUUUUAGAUAAUGAUCAAAUACUUCGAAUUUC
rnacentral:lncRNA from 10 species